rnacentral:rRNA from 1 species
UACGGAGGGAGCUAGCGUUGUUCGGAAUUACUGGGCGUAAAGCGCGCGUAGGCGGCUUUGUAAGUUAGAGGUGAAAGCCCGGAGCUCAACUCCGGAUCUGCCUUUAAAACUGCAUCGCUUGAAUCCAGGAGAGGUGAGUGGAAUUCUGAGUGUAGAGGUGAAAUUCGUAGAUAUUCGGAAGAACACCAGUGGCGAAGGCGGCUCACUGGACUGGUAUUGACGCUGAGGUGCGAAAGCGUGGGGAGCAAACAGG